rnacentral:lncRNA from 1 species
AUGGGCGAUUUCAAUUAUCCCGAUAUCUGCUGGAAAACAAACUCAGCCAAGAGUACAAAGUCCAACAAAUUCCUCACUUGCCUUGCAGAUAAUUUUAUGGUCCAGAAGGUAGAAGAGGCAACAAGGGGAUCAGCAACUCUUGAUCUAAUCUUAACAAAUGUGGAAGACCUGAUCAAUACAGUUGAAGUGGUUGGAUCCUUAGGGGCAAGUGACCAUGUGCUCCUGCAGUUUGCAAUACAAAGGAAUGCUGAAACUAAGACAAGUCAGACACGCAUUCUGGACUUUAAGAGAGCUGACUUCCAAAAAAUGAAGGAAUUACUGAGCGGCAUUCCAUGGACGCCGAUAUUAAAAAACAAGGGAGUUAAGGAUGGAUGGGAGUUUUUCAAAAGUGAAAUACUCAAGGCGCAAAUGCAAACAGUGCCAACAAAGAAGAAAAAUAAGACAAGUGCAAAGAAGCCAGAAUGGAUGUCCAAAGAACUUCUAACUGAGCUAAAGCUCAAAAGUGACAUGCACAAGAAGUGGAAAAGGGGAGAAAUCACCAAAGAAGAAUUCAAACGUAUAGCCAACACCUGUAGGGAAAAGGUUCGCAAGGCUAAAGCGCAAAAUGAGCUCAGGCUUGCCAGGGACAUAAAAAACAACAAAAAAGGCUUUUUUGCUUACGUUGGUAGAAAAAGGAAGAAAAAGGAGGCGAUAGGGCCAUUGCAAGGAGAAGAUGGGGUGAUGGCGACAGGGGACAGGGAAAAGGCAGAACUACUUAAUGCCUUCUUUGCCUCAGUCUUCUCACAAAAAGAAAGCCAUCUUCAACCUCAGCAACAUGGAAUGGACGAAGGAUUGGGGGAAAUCCAACCCCAAAUAGGGAAACAAGUUGUCCAGGAACACCUGGCCGCUCUAAACAAAUUCAAGUCCUCAGGGCCAGAUCAGCUACAUCCAAGAGUACUGAAGGAACUAGCGGAUGUUAUUUCAGAACCACUGGCAAUUAUCUUCGAGAGUUCUUGGAGAACGGGAGAAGUCCCAGCAGAUUGGAGGAGGGCGAAUGUGGUCCCUAUCUUCAAGAAGGGAAAAAAGAACGACCCAAACAAUUACCGUCCGGUCAGCCUCACAUCGAUAUCAGGCAAAAUUCUGGAAAAGUUCAUUAAGGAAGUGGUCUGCGAACACUUAGAAACAAAUGCAGUCAUUGCUAAUAGUCAACACGGAUUUACCAAAAACAAGUCAUGCCAGACUAAUCUGAUCUCUUUUUUCGAUAGAGUUACGAGUUGGGUCGAUACAGGGAAUGCAGUGGAUGUAGCGUACCUAGAUUUCAGUAAGGCCUUCGACAAAGUUCCUCACGAUCUUCUGGCAAACAAACUAGUAAAAUGUGGGCUAGACAAAACUACGGUUAGGUGGAUCUGUAAUUGGCUAAGCGAACGAACCCAAAGGAUGCUCACCAAUUCGUCUUCCUCAUCUUGGAAAGAAGUCACGAGUGGAGUGCCACAAGCAGGGUUCUGCCCUGGGCCCGGUUCUGUUUAA